rnacentral:lncRNA from 1 species
GAGGAGCUGCUGGAGGACCUGAGCUGAAGGGUGAGAAGAAAUGAGGAGAAGGCCUCAAAAGAGAUGAGGAAGAAAAUGUAGAAAAGGAUUCAAGGGAAAGAAGAAAGUCAUUGGAAAGACAAUAACAAGUUUGGGAGAGUCUAGAGGCUUUCACCUUACAAGGAUAAAUUCAUUGGAGUCACACAGUUUCCUAAGGAAGCAGCUCUGAUUUAUAGAUGAGGAAACUGAGGCUGAAAAAGAUCAAGUAGCUUGCCCAGGCCCACAAAGCUAGCUAAGCAUUCCCAGUGUCUUCAGUGAUCCUCAGCAGCAUGGACUCAAGGCCCUCCACCAUUCAUCAUGAGAUCCCACUCUAACAAGAUGGAUCCCAGAUCUACUAAUCUCUUUCCUGAGCUCCAGUCUCCCAUUACCAACUGUCAUCUAGACAUAAGAAACUGGAUAUCCAAUAGACAUUUCAAUCUCAACAUGUCAGAAACAGAACUCAUUUCCCCCACAAAGCCUUCCCUUCAUUUGUAGUUUCCUAUUACCAUUAAGAGUUCAACCAUUCUCUUAAUUACCGAGGCUUGCAAUCUCUGUGUCAUAUUUAAUUCCUUAUUCAUACUCAUCCCACAAUUCCAACCAUAUUUUCCAACACGUUUGUUUUCUAGCCUCACAUAUUCUCCUUGAGUGCUAAAGUCACCAGUGA